AUUGAACGCUGGCGGCAGGCCUAACACAUGCAAGUCGAACGAGUGGCGGACGGGUGAGUAAUGUCUGGGAAACUGCCCGAUGGAGGGGGAUAACUACUGGAAACGGUAGCUAAUACCGCAUACCAUCGGAUGUGCCCAGAUGGGAUUAGCUAGUAGGUGGGGUAACGUCUCACCUAGGCGACGAUCCCUAGCUGGUCUGAGAGGAUGACCAGCCACACGGGAACUGAGACACGGUCCAGACUCCUACGUGAGGCAGCAGUGGGUAAUAUUGGACAAUGGGCGCAAGCCUGAUGCACCCAUGCCGCGUGAAUGAAGAAGGCCUUCGGGUUGUAAAGUACUUUCAGCGAGGAGGCGUUACUCGCAGAAGAAGCACCGGCUAACUCCGUGCCAGCAGCCGCGGUAAUAC
rnacentral:rRNA from 1 species